CGCCUUAUACUCCUACGGGAGGCAGCAGUGGGGAAUUUUGGACAAUGGGGGCAACCCUGAUCCAGCAAAGCCGCGUGAGUGAAGAAGGCCUUCGGGUUGUAAAGCUCUUUUGUCAAGGAAGAAACGGUAGUAGCUAAUAUCUAUUACUAAUGACGGUACCUGAAGAAUAAGCACCGGCUAACUACGUGCCAGCAGCCGCGGUAAUACGUAGGGUGCAAGCGUGAAUCGGAAUUACUGGGCGUAAAGCGUGCGCAGGCGGUUGUGUAAGUCAGAUGUGAAAUCCCCGGGCUCAACCUGGUAAUUGCAUUUGAGACUGCACGGCUAGAGUGUGUCAGAGGGGGGUAGAAUUCCACGUGUAGCAGUGAAAUGCGUAAAUAUGUGGAGGAAUACCGAUUGCGAAGGCAGCCCCCUGGGAUAACACUGACGCUCAAGCACGAAACCGUGGGGCGCAAACAGGAUUAAAAGCCCCAGUAGUCCACGUACCA
rnacentral:rRNA from 1 species